ensembl:lncRNA
AGAAUCUGCCAGUGGCUCUGGUAGGCAGGCAGAAGAGCAGGGACAUUGUGCUGGCUCUCCUCCCUGUGUUCUCCUCACCUUAAGGGAAACUGUUCAGAAUUCCAGGAAAGAGGAUACCCGCAGUUCUCCCUGCCUCCCAGCCCACAGCUGAAGUCAUAAGGAAGUUUCUGAUGAAGCUUAAUUGAAGAUACUUUCCUAAAUGGACAUAUCGACUUCUGCAUGAUCAUCUGUAGACUAAGGAACCAAGGAACCAGCCAGUACAGUGGUGACGAUAUGCCCCUGAGCACCCUGUAGUGCAGUCUCACCUGAAAUACAGCCAGACAAAAUACCUGUCCAAAACUGCCUGUGAUAUUCAAGAAAUAGGCAACUACAAAGGGCAAGGAAACAAGACAUAACAUGUUGAGACUAGACAAUAAGAACAGAACAUAUGUAUCUAGAUAGAUUUUGUGUUCUAUACGGAAUGCAAAGCAGCAGCAUCUCCUCUUAAGAUAAGUCAGCUCUGUCACUCAGCCCUCGUUUUUGUGAAAACUGUCAAAGAAUUUCCAAGAGUGAACUCCAGAAGGAUUGAUGCUCCCGUAUAUAUGGGCUGCUGAUUCACUUUGGAGACAUUAUCAGCUUGCCAUAAUUUGUCAUUGCAUAUUCAUUCUUGACAUUCUGAAGGUUCUGCUGAGGCUCUUAAAUGGACCUUAGGCUUGGAGGUAGUAAAAACGUCAGCAGAAGAUGGAAUGAUGGAAGUGCUGUGGCCACACUGAGGUUUCUGCACCUGCCACGCAGUGCCUGCUCACCUGUUCCCCAGGUGGCACCCUCUUCUGCUACUCAGUAUAGGCUAUUGCUCAGAACUGACAACAGGUUUCCAUUAACAAACUAGUUUAUGUCACCAUCACUGUAGUCAAAGACGUCUUUUCUACCUCUAGAGAGCCUCCUGCUACAGAUUUAUGAUGGGAAGAGCGAUGAAGAGAGGAAACAAUCAAGUCUACAAAGCCAAAAUGGUGAAUGAGAAAUGGUAACAGAAGGCAGAAUGGAAACCUGAAGCUUCCUCAGUCUCCUUUUGCUAUGGCUUCCUGAAACGGUGCUGUGAAUGUAACAUGGAAUCAAGAUCAGAUGAACUGCCCUUAUAAAACGCAUCACUUGUUCAACCCUGGAUUCCUGAAAUGCACCUAGGCCUUAGCUGGGAAAAACAAAUACCAGGAAAAAUAGCUCUAAUGUCAUGAGGCUAUUUUAGAUCAAGACUCCUUGUUUUCUAAGCCACUUUCAUCCUGUUCCUAUAUUGUUCAUCACUUUCUUUUCUAUUGUUACAGAGAUACUGUGUGCUGACAGCAAUUGGAUCCCUUGUCUGAGUUUGAAAAAUCAAGAGUGCAACACUUGUUUUUUUUUAACUUCAGUAAGCACUUGUAUUUAAUACUCUGCCACUGUGAGUGAUUAAAAAGCUAGACUGAGUAAGGGGUAAAGGUACACCACCACAGACAGCAACUAUUUGGAUUUCAUUUGUCUUGUGUUUGUUCUCACCCUUUGAAUGCUGGUAUCACCAGGAGAGGAGACCUGUGUUUACAUAAAAGAAUAAAUAAGAAAUGUG